UGAGAACGACCGAUUGCUGUAAACCAGACGUCACUGCAACAACAGAGCACAGAGAUAAUCAUCAAUGAUGGCCACUUUCUUCACACUGUCUGUCUUUCUGUGCGUGGUUGCUAUGAGCCAUGCACAGUGUUAUUUUCAACCGAUAAUAAUCACAGACAUAUUUAAACCACCAACAGGUUGCACAGAUCUCCAAGGCAAAAUGCAUCCAUUCGGUUCCAACUGGAUGACAGAGGGCUGCUAUUCCUGUUCCUGCUCAGAGGAUGGCGCUAGCUGCUGUAACCAAAUCCCUCAGAUUGCAAAGAGCCCUUCUAAUUGCCGGGUGCUGGUGGACAAAAAGACGUGCACAUAUAAACUGAUGAUGAAAACAGAUACCUCUGUCACAUGCUCUGCCGUUGUUUAAAUCAGUUUCUGAAUGGGUCUUGGUAUGGAUUGUGUUCCUUUUCAGAUUUUGUGUCAAUUUUCAUGAUUUUAUUUGCAACACAACAGUGUUUUUGUUUUCUUAAUUAUUAAUGAAUGUGUGUUCUUUUAAAUAUAAGGGCCUACAUCAGGGCUAUUCAAUUAGAAUUUCAUCUGGGCCACAUUUCGAAACCAAGAACUGCAGUCGGGCCACACAUUUUCAGACAUCACGACCACUGAAAUGACACUUAAAAUCAGUAGUCCACAAACAAAUUUUAAACAUGUUCCUCUAACCUAAAACUUAACCACAUUGAAUGUGAAUGUAUAAGACAAGCAGAAGAUUCACAAGCAAAUAAUGUGUAGUACUGCAGUAACAAAACUGAAAUGUACACUGCUUCAGUUGGAGGCCAUGUCUGGGCCGCAUGUGGACUGCAUCUGGGCCGCAUGUGGCCCUCGGGCCUUCAAUUGAAUAGCCCUGGCCUACAUUAACAUGAGCCCCUAUAUGUGUUUACCCCCUCAACACAGAGCAUAUAGUUAUAACCCUACUGUCACCAAAAUUGUAAUGGCUAUGUUGUAAUAUGUAAUUGUAUCAGAUGCACUGAAAAGGAAAAGGAAAAUGGCACAGAACAAUUUUCCGAAAGGACAAAUAAACUAUCUAUCUAUCUAUCUAUCUAUCUAUCUAUCUAUCUAUCUAUCUAUCUAUCUAUCUAUCUAUCUAUCUAUCUAUCUAUCUAUCUAUUACUUAAGGCUCUUGGUACUGUCAUAGCAAUGUAGUUAUGAUGUAGUUGAGUUCAGUAAAUAGUGAAUAAGUCCGCUGGCGACCUCAUCUGCAGUAAGAGACUACAGUUUACAUUUGUGUGAAAACCAUCAGGAACUCAAAUGACUAUCACCAGAAAACAAAUCCACCAAAAAAAUCCAUGACGUGGAAAUUGUUGAAACAUUUGGUUACCCAUCUAGGCCUACAGAAAGGAGACAUUAUGUAAUUAUAGCCCAAUCUCCAUGUCUAUAUGUAAAUGCUCAGCUGUUAGAGUCCUUUGCAAAUGUACAAAUUCUUUCUUUUUUCUAUUGUCCAAUAAAAUUUCAAAUCCAUGGGCCUAGUAGUCUAACUGGUCCA